UACGGAGGGUGCAAGCGUUAUCCGGAUUCACUGGGUUUAAAGGGCGCGUAGGCGGCCUCUUAAGUCGAACGUGAAAUCCCCGGGCUCAACCCGGGAACUGCGUCCGAUACUGGGGGGCUUGAAUCCGGGAGAGGGAUGUGGAAUUCCAGGUGUAGCGGUGAAAUGCGUAGAUAUCUGGAGGAACACCGGUGGCGAAGGCGGCAUCCUGGACCGGUAUUGACGCUGAGGCGCGAAAGCUAGGGGAGCAAACGGG
rnacentral:rRNA from 1 species